AUCCAGCAGCCACUGCGCUUCCGUAUCUACAUAAGACACUGCCCGGUCAGUGACAUCACCGACCGCGCUCUUCCCGCCUACCCACGGCCCGCCCCCUCCCCGCGUUUUCCUCCUCCCGUUCCUCCCAGACGGCCAAUGAGCGGGCCGGCAGCCCGAGGAAGAAGUGACGUCUCCCUUCCCCCUCCCCAGCGGCCACCGUUUACGCGGCGAGCCGAGUCGGGGGCCUGGCCCAGCCGCGUCUCUCCCGGACUGCGCGGCUUCUUCACUUCUCCUUCCCCACGCCCCUUUGGCUUUCGGCUGAAGCCUGUGCAACUUUCUCGGAAUAAUGAGUGGCUCUUAACACGUAGAAUAGAACAAAAAUUGAUAUUAGCCCUGACCUCGGGAUCAUUUUUUUCCAUGGCAUAGAAUGUAUCCUUUUUUUUUUUUUUUUUUCCCCGAAGGCACCUUACGGAGACCAAGACGAGUGUGUUACCUAGAGAAUUUGCAGCCAUCCACCCAUCACAGAGACAAACAUGUUUAAACACGUUUUGUGUGGAAUACACCCGUGCAUGUAUGAACUGGAACCCUAGCAGCAGUACUUUUUGACUUAACCCUCCUGUUACUCAGUGACAUUGGUUACACUUUUCACAAUGUGUCAGCAUUCUCGUUAUUUCCUUUGUGACGGUUCUGUUUCCAUCAGUUCCCUGGCCCUCCUUACCUUCAUCAUCGUCGGCCUAGGGUGAAUUUUGACUGUUAGGUCUCAUUAUUUAGAGGAGCACAGUAGUCGCAGGUGAUAUUUAUUUUAUGAGCCACUCUGUGUUUGGGCUGAUAGGUGAACACCAGGAGUGGUUUGAGAUCCAAGGACAAAGGGUAUCCCAGGGGGAUAGUCUCAGGCGUUCCUCUGGUCUCCACGGGUCCAAUAAGUAUUGACUUUUUUUUUUUUUAGGAAUUUGAGUUUUGUUCUAUGUUUUUCUCCCAUGCUAUCCUGGACCAUCUAUUGUAUUUGUAUCCCUGGUGGGAACGGUCGGUAAUGGUAGCCGGGCACCAUCUCGGUAUUCUGCUCUCUAGGUAGAUGAGGCUGUGCUCCCUGUAGACUAGUUUCGUCUUUGGAGUCUUUGGUUUCCUUUUUCUCUUUUGCUCCUCUUUAUUUUUCUUAAGAUAAAAAUCCUCUGGGACAACUUUCUUGGCAUUCUGACCUAGUGAAAAAACCUGGCGUCACCCUACAGUGAAGCUCAAAGUUGGCAAAGUCCACUCACUCAGGGUUUUCUAUCUGCUUUUUAGGUCUCUGCUCUUAACUAGAGGAUGACCAGAUUUACCCAGAUUUACCUGAGAAAAUCAUCUCAUACCAGCCACGGCUCUGACGGGAAACAGAAGGGAGAAAAACACACAAGACUGAGAUAGCUGAACAAAGCUUAGGUCCACCUCAAAGAGAAGUCAACAUUCCUGAAAAUCUCUAAACCCUGAGAGAAACCAGGAUGGCGUGAAGAGACUGGCAAGACUCUCCGAUGACAUGAUGAGACUUACGAGGCUUCAAUGGUAGAUCACUUUAUCGUCAAGUCCACCUCAAAGAAAAGUCAGGAUCCCUGGAAAUCUCUAAACCCUAACCUUCUCCCUAUAAAGCCCUCCAGUUAGCCCUUUAGAGUUAGACCGGAUUUGGGAGAAAUUUAACCCCCUCUGUCUCUUGGACACCGGUGUUCAAUAAAGCCCUCUUGGUGCUUACCUCCUCCUGUCUCAGUAUUGGCUUUAUAGCAUGCGGCUGGAAUCUGCGAUGUGCAGUAACAGAGAUGCUGCCUGUGGAGAUCAGAUUGAGUUGUUCCUUCCUUGCUCUUGCUGCCUUUUUCCCUUGGAAGUAUCUUUGACAGUGUUCCUACAACUCUACUAUCAUGGUUUUAAUUUCCGAGAUAUUUGUUUGCUGAAUGCGCCUUUCUUCCCUUUUUUAAUUUUUUAUCGUGCUUUAGGUGAGCGUUUACAGCUCAAGUUAAUUCCUCAUACAAAAAUAUGGGCUCAAACAUAGCAAAUAUUGUCAGGAUGACGCAGGAAUGGGCACUGUUACGUCCUGUUGUACACGGGGUCGCUAUGAGCCAGAGA